UAAUACGUAGGGUGCAAGCGUUGUCCGGAAUUAUUGGGCGUAAAGAGCUCGUAGGCGGUUUGUUGCGUCGGCUGUGAAAUCCCGAGGCUCAACCUCGGGUCUGCAGUCGAUACGAGCAAACUAGAGUGUUGCAGGGGAGACUGGAAUUCCUGGUGUAGCGGUGAAAUGCGCAGAUAUCAGGAGGAACACCGGUGGCGAAGGCGGGUCUCUGGGCAACAACUGACGCUGAGGAGCGAAAGCGUGGGGAGCGAACAGGAUUAGAUACCCUGGUAGUCCUAGCCGUAAACGUUGGGUGCUAGGUGUGGGCGGAUAUCAACCCCGUCCGUGCCGAAGCUAACGCAUUAAGCACCCCGCCUGGGGAGUACGGCCGCAAGGCUA
rnacentral:rRNA from 1 species